UUACUUCUAGUAGUACUUUUAUUGUUUUGAUUGUUUCUUGCUUUGGUGUCAUAUAAUUUUCUGAAUUGAUGUUGCUCCUUUGUGCAUUUUCUUUUUAGAGUUGAGUUCAUACUUGUAUUCUAGACCUAUACAAGUUCCAAUACAUCAUUUUCUAUUAUGUCUUUGCUAGUUCAUCAUUCUGUUUUUUAUUCCUAUUAGGAUUCCUCUGUUUCUGAAAAAAG
rnacentral:lncRNA from 1 species